rnacentral:rRNA from 1 species
GCUUGUCUCAAAGAUUAAGCCAUGCAUGUCUAAGUGUAAAUACGUCUACACUGUGAAACUGCGAAUGGCUCAUUAAAUCAGUUAUCGUUUAUUUGAUGAUCUCUCGUUACAUGGAUAACCGUAGUAAUUCUAGAGCUAAUACAUGCGUCAAGCCCCGACUCACGAAGGGGUGUAUUUAUUAGAUUCAAAACCAACCGGGGCAACCGGUCCUUUGGUGAUUCAUGAUAACUUUGCGAAUCGCAUAGCUUUAAUGCUGGCGAUGGGUCAUUCAAAUUUCUGCCCUAUCAACUUUCGACGGUAGGAUAGAGGCCUACUGUGGUGAUAACGGGUAACGAAGAAUAAGGGUUCGAUUUCGGAGAGGGAGCCUGAGAAACGGCUACCACAUCCAAGGAAGGCAGCAGG